ACGACUCUCGGCAACGGAUAUCUGGGCUCUCGCAUCGAUGAAGAACGUAGCGAAAUGCGAUACUUGGUGUGAAUUGCAGAAUCCCGUGAACCAUCGAGUCUUUGAACGCAAGUUGCGCCCGAAGCCGUCAGGCCGAGGGCACGUCUGCCUGGGCGUCCCG
rnacentral:rRNA from 1 species